ACCAACUGGGAACAGCUACGAGGUGGUUCACAGUUUCUUAACCAUGGCACAACUGGAUAAUUUUUUGUUGUGGAGGCUCUCUGCGCAUUAAAUAAUGUUUAGCAGCAUCCCAGGCAUCUGCCCACUAGAUGCUAGUGGCACCUCCUCUCCCCGUUGUGACAACAACAACGAAAAUGUCUCUGAACAUUGCCAGAUGUCCCCUGGUUGUGAGCCACUGUGAUAGUGGAAGGAUCACUGGGCUGCAAGAUUGUAGGCAGGUCUGGAGCCUCUCACCUCCCCGCAUCUCCUGGGACCCCACAGCAACAUGCUUGUUCCUCCUCCAGAUUAAAUGCUGCUGCACCCAACGAGCUGCUCCCGCCGAAGUGGGAAAGCGAGAUUCGAUUAGUAUGGAUUCUGGAAUCGGAUCUUAAACAUCUCUGAGAAGAAGAAUAUUCUAGCAACCAGCACACUGGGCUUCUCCGGACUCCUAUUUUCUCAGGGAAGAUUCUGCUUAGCUUGCCAGUGCGAACCCUGAGGAUCCCAUGAGGAGCUGGGGAAAUUUCUUCCAGAAACAUCGCUGAAUCCCCUGAAACACAGAUGAUAAAGGAGAUAAAAGUUAUUGUGGCCAGGUUCAUCUUACUGAAGUUGAAAACUAUAUUGUGGCUAAGUGAGAGAACAUCGCCAUUGGUAGGAAGUCUCCAGGAAAGUAUCUGUGGGUACCUAAGCUGAGCUACAGAGAGUAAAGAAACAGAUUUGGGGUGUGUGAAUGUGUGUGUGUGUGAGAGAGAGACACGCACAAAUGUUGAAGCAAUGAGAUGAAAUAUUAAAAGUAGGAAGAUGUAGGCCAA